GAUGAACGCUAGCUACAGGCUUAACACAUGCAAGUCGAGGGGAAACGGCAUUUAGUGCUUGCACUGAAUGGACGUCGACCGGCGCACGGGUGAGUAACGCGUAUCCAAUCUUCCCAUUACUGUGGGAUAACCUGCCGAAAGGCAGACUAAUACCGCAUAGUCUUCGAUGACGGCAUCAGAUUUGAAGUAAAGAUUUAUCGGUAAUGGAUGGGGAUGCGUCUGAUUAGCUUGUUGGCGGGGUAACAGCCCACCAAGGCAACGAUCAGUAGGGGUUCUGAGAGGAAGGUCCCCCACAUUGGAACUGAGACACGGUCCAAACUCCUACGGGAGGCAGCAGUGAGGAAUAUUGGUCAAUGGGCGAGAGCCUGAACCAGCCAAGUAGCGUGCAGGACGACGGCCCUAUGGGUUGUAAACUGCUUUUGUAUGGGGAUAAAGUCAAUCACGUGUGAUUGUUUGCAGGUACCAUACGAAUAAGGACCGGCUAAUUCCGUGCCAGCAGCCGCGGUAAUACGGAAGGUUCGGGCGUUAUCCGGAUUUAUUGGGUUUAAAGGGAGCGUAGGCCGGAGAUUAAGUGUGUUGUGAAAUGUAGACGCUCAACGUCUGACUUGCAGCGCAUACUGGUUUCCUUGAGUACGCACAACGUUGGCGGAAUUCGUCGUGUAGCGGUGAAAUGCUUAGAUAUGACGAAGAACUCCGAUUGCGAAGGCAGCUGACGGGAGCGCCACUGACGCUUAAGCUCGAAGGUGCGGGUAUCGAACAGG
rnacentral:rRNA from 1 species